rnacentral:tRNA from 1 species
AGUGAUAUAGUUUGGUGGUAGAGUACUUGCUUAGAAAACAGGAGGUCCUGGGUUCAAAUCUCAGCACCAUAA